ACGUGAGGGCCGUCUGGCUGUGACACCUGCCACCCCACCCCCGCCAGGGCUGACCGGCCGGUCUGGCCGGCCAGGCGGGCGCCCCUCCCUCCCUCACUACUGGGUAGAAGAGGACCGGUCUUCCGUCAAGGGCAUACGCUGCCCUGCGGGGACUCUAAGCAAGCUCUCCAAGUGACGGUGGGCAGGCCGUGAGCCUCACAACACAGGGGCGUUCCAGAUCUGGCCCACAGAAGGUGUUGUGCCGAGCCUUACUUU
rnacentral:snRNA from 1 species